UUCUGAGCCUGACCUUGAAUACAUCCUAGCUUCUAGUAGGACUUUAAACGGACCCCACAGGGGUGAAUAUUUCUAGACAAAGUAGAGCCAUUUAAGAGUCAGCCUCCAGGAAGCAAUCGUGUCAACCUUGAGACUCACAGCUGUCAGCAAACUGCUGUCUGAUAAGCCUUUCUGGACAUCAGAUAGCUGUGGGAAAAAAAGAAAAAAGAAAAAAACGCUUCAAUGAAUUAAGUAAAAAAUGAAUCACAGACAUGUGGAAUACAUUUUCUUCACUGUACUCAAGGCUUAAAAUUUACAAGGAGAAGUAUUUGGCCACAAUUGCCAAACCAAAGAAGCAUUUGAAAGGAAGCCAGCAGAAGAUGUUUCACUGAGAGCGGCUGGAUUUGCUUAGCUUGGCUCGUAAAGAAAGUCUAUAAAGAAACGGCUCCAGCUUGUAUGAGCGCGGUUAGUCCCUAUUAGAGCUGCUUCCUUGGAAGGCUGCCUACGAGGGUCCAGUCAUCUCCUUGCCUACCAGGUCCGAUGGCCAGGAAGAUGCCUCUCAUGUCCAUGAGUUCGUUGUCAUAUCCGUGCCAUCCUCGCUGCCAGCCUUCACGCUUGCCCGUGCUGUUCAUCCAAAAUGGAAGCAUCUCUCGACUCUGAAAUCAAGAAAGGCGAUGAUAUCGCAUUGCUCUGAGACAGUUACAGCUUCUGGGAAAACACUGACUGCAGGGUGGAGAUGCCCUCAUCAUUAUCCCUGACGGGGCUAUUCCAGCUUCGGUUGGAACACUUCCUACUUCCGGGAGCUCUGACCCUUGGCAACAACCCCCUAAAUUCCUACAUAUCUCCGCUUAAGGGGGCAUUUUCUUAACCUGAGAUGAAUUCUAUCAUGUAAUGAGGUUUGGAGCCACUAAGUACAGCAUGCUAGCGAUAGAAAGGAUGUUAGAACUUGUCUAGGGCAUAAAAGGAGAUUUGCUUUUUAUCCCAGGUUCCUGCCGUGGAGCUCCUAAAACCCUUGGAAUUUCCUGUAUGACUAGAGGGACUUUGGUUAUUCAUAAUGAGCCCAUUUCUCUCAUACCACAGUAUGCAGAGACAGCCACUGGAUUGAGGGACUAGACAGUUUCAGGGUGGGGGGUGGUCACCUAAGUAGCAAAUCUCCUGAUUAGGUUUAAGCGUUUGUUUCUGAUCCCCAACCACUGGAAGGAUGAAGGUGUUGGCACUGGAGUCCUGUUGUGUAACCAAUACAAUAUCUCAUCCCCACAAAAUGACACCCCAGAUGUCACACCUGCUGAGCAUGGUUUCAGAGACCUUCCAAGAGGGAAAAGAGCCUUGCGUCCCUCAAGUCCCACCCAGGUGUGUCCAUCUGGCUGUUCCUAAGUCUUUCUUAACGAAACUGUAGUCACAAGGAUAGCACUUUGCUGAGUCCUAGGAUUCCUUCUAUCCAACCAAAGUCAGAUGGUGAGAAUCCUAGCCCAAACAGGCAGAAGUGUUGAUAGGAAGCCCGGGGAGCCAGGACUUGCACCUAGCAGAUGAGUGGACUCGUGCGAGCACUGAAUUCCUUAGCCUGUGAUGUAUGCUCUAACUCCGGGCAUGGGAUGAAACUGAACGUUCAGGUACUCAAAUGUUGAAGGGUUGUUGGAAAUUAUGACAUGCAUAAAGUCACUUCAUUUUGUAGUAAGGUAACCAGAGCCUCAAGGGGUCCACUUAGCACCCCCUCAUACAGCCCUCCCCAGUUCCACAAUACACAUACAUACCAUGCCAUUCUUCCAGCCCCACCCUCAGGAGCAAAGCUUCAACCAUUCUCCUUGGUUUCCUGCAUUUAGCCAUUUGAAGAUAACUCCCAAAGUCCUCUUACCCAGGCCUCCCUCGUCUUCAUUUCCCUUGACCUCCCGUCACCUGGGAAGGGUAACAAGGCCACUGUUUUCCUGACAUUUUCUAGACUACAUUUCCUUAGGCUCCAGAGGCUCAGUCAUGGUGAAGAGAGAGCUUAAAGCUCUGUGGGUCCUGCAGAGCCUGCAGCCUGUUGACCACAAUGCUAGCCACUUUGCUGCAGACAGGUCGUGUGUUUAAGACGGUUCAGCACUGCAAGUGUUUCAAACAUAGGAAUAGAAUCAAAAAUGGCACAAUUACCAGCUAUGUAUGGGUUGAUCCCAAAAGCUAAUAUAGUAUCAUGUAUUUACAGGGCCAGUACUGAUGUUUACAAUCAUCAGAGCAUCCUACUGUGGACAAUACUGUCUUUUAUCAUUUGCAAUUCAAAUCCCUAUAACACAGAAAGAAGUACAGCACUUUCCUGAAUCCUAGUUCUAAUGACCUUAAGUCAGAUGGUGAGAAUCCUAGCCAGAUCAGGCAAAUCAUGGGAUAAAAAAUCAUGUGGAUAAAAGAUAAGACGACCCUCUCCUUUAUUAUUUGUAAUUAAAAGCACUACAGCACAGAAAGAAACUCUCAGUCACACAGCUAUUAGGAGGCAGUGCCAGACCUAGAGAGAGGGGAGUCUGGACUUGGAUUCACCAUGGAGCUGAAGUUCACUUUCUCCUUUCCUGUUCUCCGAUCCCGGUUAAAAGUUGGGUAUCUUCUCUGCAUUUCACAUCCCUUGUUGGAUGUAGGGAUGCUUAACAUUCAUUUGGUGUAGUUAGGAAGGAUGAGAUGACUGUGUGUUGAAUAUCUAGCACACAGUAGGUGCUCAAUAAGUUGCUGGUCUGGUCACCAGAUGCUACUAACUGUGGACUGAGGCACUCUGGUUAUGAGGUUGAAGCCUCUUCGGCUUGUGUAGCUAUAGCUCAUUGCACCCUCAUCUGCUCUCACCCCAUAAAUCGCUCCCAGGCCUUCUGCUGUCUAAAGACAGCUUUUUCAUUGGCUGUCUGUUUCCUGGCUUUCCGUCAUCCCUUGUCCCCCUCCUUCCAGCUGGAGCUUAUAUUUUUCCAUGGACAUACUUUAUGAACUUACUGACUUUUCAUACUUCUUUUUAGGGGGGGUUGUUUUUUAGCAGGCUGUGGUGAGGAACACAACACAUUCCAAUUUCGCUUCAUCAGCUAACUUAAUCUGUGGCUUUUUCUGUUUUCUGUCUUUGAGGCAGGGAUCUGGAGCCUUCUUUGAGUCACACUUGCGAUGAGCCCUGAGGUGUCUCUAUUCCCCACAGCCAAGGAAUGAAGAUAGACAAUUUAACUUUAAAACUACCUUCUAAAAGGCUACUGUUUCUUAAUGCACAAAGAAACACAACAGUAAUCUCAGACCUGGAGGCAGGAUUCUGGCUCUGAUGGAUUCCUUUCACUCUGCUUCUCACCUGCUUGCUCCCAUUUCUCCUGACUGAUUGCUGAGUCUCGGAGAAGCAUACUCCUGAGGAGGCAGAAGGACUUAAUUGAUCAACCUUUGACCCCUGGUCUGACCUUGGAGAGUCUCCUGCCACAGAGCUUGAUCCCUGACACAGUUAAAAUGCCUGAGAGCAUAGUCAACAAGGAUCAAGAGAAGCCGGGGUGGAGCAAAGUGCUGGAGAGACACAUUAAGUGGACCAGCGAUUGCUCUUUCUUGAGUCAAUUUGAAGAGGAGAAGGAGGAAGGGGGGCAGCAGAGAGGGGACCAGGGACAUGCACUUCCAGACAGCUUCCACAUGCCACCCCAGUCACUGUGGAGAGCAAGCUGCUUCCAGGCUUGUACAUUUGACCUUCUGGAGCUCAAUUAGUUGGGCCUGGACAAUACCACGACAGCUGCCAUGACCACUCAGAAGCCAUGCUUCCCAGGUUGUCUUGAUUUCCCCAAAUAUUUUGGAGCUCUGCCUAAUGUCCCUUCAGGCGCAGGCUUUAGAAUUGAGCCUGGCAUGUCACACCCUUUGCUGGUGUUCAAAGCAACUCUUUUCUCUGUAGGCAGGUGUGGCCUCCUGUAGAUGGAUGAGCUUCUGCUCGCUCUACUUGUUUGAACUGAGCCAGGGAUGUGGAUAACCAGCUCAAAGCACCUUGUUCUCCCCACCUUUCUCAGAAUCUUGGCCCCCUUUUGCUUUUUUUUCAGCUCAGUAGAUGCUUUCCAGGGCAAGGCACAGAAAUUGGACCUUAAUAGUUGAGUGGGGACUGUGGAGCUCAGUAAAGCUAGAAUUUCCACUCAGAGUUCUAGCACCAUUCCCUAUUGAAAUCUUUCCUAGAGCUAUUUAGAAUUAGUGGAUGUUGAAAGCUUGACUUAGUCUUUCUUUGGUAACUGUUUAACAAUCUAUAAGGUGAAGUGCUGAGCCUCUGCUAUACAGUAGUACAUAUCCUUCUUAGGGAAAGACGAAGGACACAAAACCUGUUCUAUAGGAGCCUCCAGUCUAGACCAGAGAGUCCAGAAGCAGACCAAUAUGGUGCCCAGCCAAAUUAUUUGAGGCCUUAGGAAAGUCCCAAAUGAAGACAGGACUGAGUGUCUCAAGGGAUGGCACCGGGGUGGGGGGCUUCAGCUGGGAUUUGGAGGCCAGGAAGGACUUUGAAAGAGGUAGGAUACGUCAGGAAUCCUGCUGACUAUUUAUGGGGCUGAUUGAAUGGCUAGGAGAUAGCCAUUGUUGUUACUGUUGUUGACUGGAAAUCUCAAAAUAAAAAGGUUUUGAUAUCUUUACUAUGUCAAAAAUACUAAAUGACUUAAUGUCCAGGAUGUUAUUGAAACCCUUUUGUGAAUAGUUGCAGGUUCACUUAGCUUUUAAAUGGC